GGGGUUUCGGGGCUGCAGGAUCAGUUGAUGCUUUUGUUCAAAGCCAAUCAGACCGGGGCGCAGGCGGGAAAGGUGCCUUAACAUCCUCAACAUCUGGAGCUGAGGAGGCGGCAGAUGCGGGAGGGGGAGCUCCAGUCAACGGGACUGAGGCAGGAAAUUCACAGGCUCCACAGUCCCGGUAGAGCAGCAGAGACCUCCGCUCUGGAGGAUCCCCAGAAAGCAGCUACACUUACUGCUGAUCGCUGCCCCGAUCUCACUGCACACAGCCUCCAACCUCCCAACCUCAGCAGCUCCUCCUGGUUUAAGAGAGGAAACAGGACACCCCUUAGCGCCCUCCCUCUGAAAGCUGUGUGUGUGUGUGUGUGUGCCUGUGAGUAUAUAUAUAUAUAUGUGUGUACUUUCAUUGUUUUUUUUUGCGGCUUGACCUGAUCUCUUCAUGACACCUUUACGAAUGUCUGGCACAGUGCUGCCAUUCAGGCGAACGAGUAAUAGCAGAUAACAGAUUAAUCAGGUUUAAAUAAAUAAAUAAAUCAUAAUUAUUUUGCA
rnacentral:lncRNA from 1 species